rnacentral:rRNA from 1 species
UACAGGGGGGGCAAGCGUUGUUCGGAAUUACUGGGCGUAAAGGGCUUGUAGGUGGCCAACUAAGUCCGACGUGAAAUCCCUAGGCUUAACCUAGGAACUGCGUCGGAUACUGGAUGGCUUGAGUUUGGGAGAGGGAUGCGGAAUUCCAGGUGUAGCGGUGAAAUGCGUAGAUAUCUGGAGGAACACCGGUGGCGAAGGCGGCAGCCUGGACCAACACUGACGCUGAGGAGCGAAAGCCAGGGGAGCAAACGGG